rnacentral:rRNA from 2 species
CAGCCGCCGCGGUAACACCAGCCCCCCGAGUGGUGGGGAUGAUUAUUUGGCCUAAAGCGUCUGUAGCCGGCUCUGUAAGUCUCUCGUUAAAUCCAGCGUCCUAAGCGUUGGGCUGCGAGAGAGACUGCUGAGCUAGAGGGUGGGAGAGGUCAGCGGUAUUUCUGGGGUAGGGGCGAAAUCCAUUGAUCCCAGGAGGACCACCAGUGGCGAAGGCUGCUGACUAGAACACGUCUGACGGUCAGGGACGAAAGCUGGGGUAGCGAACCGGAUUAGAUACCCGGGUAGUCCCAGCUGUAAACUAUGCAAACUCGGUGAUGCAUUGGCUUGAUGCCAAUGCAGUGCCGCAAGGAAGCCGUUAAGUUUGCCGCCUGGGAAGUACGUACGCAAGUAUGAAACUUAAAGGAAUUGGCGGGGGAGCAC